UUCGGAUCUCUCCCUAGCACUGAAGACUUUAAAGUGCGACAGAUCGCAGUGCAGACCGAAAUACAACUGACGGUGAAUGAAAACUUUUGCCAAGGCCGACGGCGCAGCGAUUGAGGCAGCAGCAGAGAGGCGUCCAAUAGCAAAGUCCAAUAGAUGCGAUACAGCCACACGGCGAAAUGGAGUCGCUAAUCCCGCUCAAUGCCGUCCCAUCCCGGCCAACGAAUCACUGUUCAUCGAACCGAGGCUAUAGCUAUCUCCAAGCCGAUGCAAAAUUACUCUCGAAUACAGAAACAUUGACUGGAACCGAAUUGGUAAUCAAAGCUGAGACAAGCCAAUAUCAAAAUGGGCAUACAAUUGCGCAAUUUCGUCGCUGCCAGUAAACUGACGGCUUCAACUUCUCCAUCUCGUAGUCAUCGAUUCACUAUGAGACAUAAUAAAUCUUUGUUGCUUUAUAAAACAACUUAAGGAUAGUAAAAGCAAGCUCACGGAAAUGUGUACCCCCACAACAGGCAAAGAGUUUCAAAAAUGCAAGGCGUGCAAAUAGAAAUCCCGUUAUUUGUUUUGUGUUAUGUCGUAAUCUAGUAAUACAAGUUCCUAGUGUUAAAAAAUCUUUUUCGACUGUAUAGGGAACAGUCCGAUAUUAUUGAUCAGUAUCAAUAACCGAGUAGAUUUUCUAUGUUCGUCCUUUUAUACUUUCCUAUAAACACUGAAAAUAUUAGUAGAGAUAGAAAGAUUAGAUGUUAAGAUAUUUUAAGAUAGUGUUAUAAUUUGAAUUGUUUGGGGAUCGGUAAAGACGGACAUGGCUUAAUCGACUUGGCUUUUGAUUACGCUACUAUAAGAUACCGGUUACUGUUUUCCACAAUUUUAAAAUGUUUAAAAUGUUUACUAACUUUUCAUGUGAGGCCUUAUAACCUACAUUUCUU